AGGAUUCAGUUGGAUUUGAGGUUGAUUAGGCCCUAAGUAUAUGUGUUAAGACCUAAUCGACAUUAAACUCUAUGUAUUAGAGUCUAAUUGGUUCAUGAGAUAUGGGUAUGAGAUCUGGGUAUUGGUUCAUGAGGUUUCGUUUUGGCUCAUGGGAUUUGGUCCAUGAGAUUUGGUUGGUUUAUGGGAUUUGGUCCAUGAGAUUUGGUUUUGGUUCAUGGGAUUUGGUCCAUGAGGUUUGGUUUUGGUUCAUGGGAUUUGGUCCAUGAACUUGGUUUUGGUUCAUGAGAUUUGGUCCAUGAGGUUUAGUUUUGGCUCAUGGGAUUAGGUCCAUGAGGUUUGGUUUUGGUUUAUUUGGGUUUGGGUUUCGAUUUUAUUUGUGGGAUGGGUUUGAUUUUGGGUUCGGGUUUCAGUCUUUUUUGUGGACUUGGUUCAGGUUGGGUUUGGAUUUGAUUUGAGUUUGGGUUUUGGUUUUAUGUGUGGACUUGGUUUGAGUUUGGAUUUAUUUGGGUUCAAGUUUGGGUUUAUUUGGGUUUUGGGUUUAGGUUUAUUUGGGUUUGGGUUUGGGUUUGAUUUUGGGUUCGGGUUUCGAUCUUAUUUGUGGACUUGGUUCAGGUUGGGUUUGGAUUUGAUUUGGGUUUGGGUUUUGGUUUUAUUUGGGGAAUGGGUUUGGGUUUUAUUUGUG
rnacentral:lncRNA from 1 species